rnacentral:misc_RNA from 1 species
AACGCACAUUGCGCCCGCUGGUAUUCCGGCGGGCAUGCCCGUUCGAGCGUCAUUUUAAUUCCUUCCCAGGAGGGGAGCUUCUGUUUCCACAGAGGUUUCUGCCAGGGGUGUUGGCACCUGUCGCCGCCUAGGCGACCAGAGCCCAAAUGCAGUGGCGGACGUGCAAGCGGCCCUUAGCGCAGUAAAACAAACAAACUUCGCUCAGGAGGCUCGCAGCAACGGACCACAGCCUAACGCAAAAGCUCCUUUUGCAACAAAAACUUGACCUCGGAUCGGGUAGGACUACCCGCUGAACUUAA